UUGUACUGGAUGCUAGCUAUUUGAAUUGGAGUUGAUAUUAUAGAGUUGGGUUGCUAACACACUUAUGGCUAAUCAUGGACUAAUUAGGCUUAAAAGAUUCGUCUCAAGAUUUAUUCCAUAACUGUGCAAUUAGUUUUUUGGUUCAUCUAUAUUUAAUGUUUUAUUUAGGUAUCCAAAAAUUUGAUGUGAUGUUUUUGGAAAAAAAUUUUGGGAACUAAACAAGACCUAACAGUAUGCUCUUUCAAAAUGAACAGAUGAAUCAUUCUUGAAUACAUAACCUUUGCCUUUGAGGACCGAGCGGUGCUCGGGUGGUCAGCCGCGCAGGCGCGCGAGCUGCCGGCGCGAGUUCGAUUCGUGAGGAUCGCAACUCGCGUCUCUCAUCCGGGGAUUUUCCCCUCAUACGCGUGUGCACCCCAAAAUCCUAAGCGUGUGGUAGGAACGCGCACACGUGUGUGUUCGUAUGUCCUGGUGUGUGUUCGUGUGCGUCUCGUGUUGUACCCUUUAAAAAAAAACCUUUGCCUUUGCCUUUGAUUCGAUGUCCACUAGACUUGAUUUUCAUGGAUAAGCUAGAUAUAGCCACAUAGGAGUCUGACAGUAUUGACAGCUGUGUCUGUCCAAUCCCAAAUGCACAAUGGGGUAACUCCAUAACUAUAUAGUACUAAGGUAUUUAUCCCUGGAUAGAACUACUUGGAUUAUUGUUUUUUCUAUUGGUUGUUG
rnacentral:lncRNA from 1 species